rnacentral:rRNA from 1 species
CAGCCCCUGAGUGGUAGGGGAUGAUUAUUUGGCCUAAAGCGUCCGUAGCCGGCUUAGCAAGUCUUUCGUUAAAUCCGGGUGACUUAAUCAUCGGUCUGCGAGAGAUACUACUAGGCUUGAGGACGGGAGAGGUCGACGGUAUUUCGGGGGUAGGGGUAAAAUCCUAUAAUCCUCGGAGGACCACCAGUGGCGAAGGCGGUCGACUAGAACGUGCCUGACGGUGAUGGACGAAAGCUGGGGGAGCAAACCGGAUUAGACACCCGGGUAGUCCCAGCUGUAAACGAUGCGGGCUAGGUGUUGGGGCAGCUACGAGCUGCUCCAGUGCCGCAGAGAAGUCAUUAAGCCUGCCGCCUGGGAAGUACGGUCGCAAGACUG